CGGCCGGAAGACUCACCGAAAACUACCGUCGAAGUCUACUCCGGUCAAGAUCAUGAUGCAAGGAGCCUUUUUUGGAAGGGAAAAGAGAAUGUGGGUGGCCGGAGUCCCAUUUUCCAUCGAGAAAUCAGAAAAACCCGCGAGGAACAACUCUCUACAGGAUCUUUGAAGAAGUUUGGCCGAGACUUCAACCCAAAGGCGGAGAUCCGAGAGUCGUCCGAGAACGGGACCUAAUUUAAAGAAAUCAGUAUUUUUGGACACCUCACAGGCAAAGAAACGCUAGCAAAAAGGGCACUCGUCAACCAGGUAAGUCACCACCCGGUAUUUAGGAAGAAAUACUUGUAGGAUUCGCUUGGAUUGCAUGCAUGCUAAUUAUUUUGCUUCCGAUUAGCUCUCAUUGUAAAA